rnacentral:rRNA from 1 species
GACGAACGCUGGCGGCGUGCUUAACACAUGCAAGUCGAACGGAAAGGCCUGCUUUCCCUUGUGGAUUGCGGGUACUCGAGUGGCGAACGGGUGAGUAACACGUGAGUGAUCUGCCCCCAACUUGGGUAUAAGCCUGGGAAACUGGGUCUAAUUCCCGAUAGGACUGCAGGGUGGUGCCUGUGGUGGAAAACGAUUUUCUAGUGGUUGGGGAUGAGCUCGCGGCCUAUCAGCUUGUUGGUGGGGUAAUGGCCUACCAAGGCGGCGACGGGUAGCCGGCCUGAGAGGGUGGACCGCCUCAUUGGGACUGAGAUACGGCCCAGACUCCUACGGGAGGCAGCAGUGGGGAAGAUUGGCCGAUGGGCGGAAGCCUGAUGCAGCGACGCCGCGUGGGGGAUGACGGCCUUCGGGUUGUAAACUCCUUUCGACCGCGAGGAAGCCACCUGGCUGGAAGGGUGGUGACGGUAGUGGUAGAAGAAGCACCGGCUAACUACGUG